GACGAACGCUGGCGGCGCGCUUAACACAUGCAAGUCGAGCGAAGCGGCGGACGGGUGAGUAACACGUGAGUAACCUGCAUUAGACAUUGGGAUAGCCUCGGGAAACCGGGAUUAAUACCAAAUGGUAUAAGAUGGACUCGCGUCCCAUUAGCUAGUUGGUGGGUAACGGCCCACCAAGGCGACGACGGGUAGCAGGCCUGAGAGGGUGAGCGGCCGCACUGGGACCGGUAUCCGGCGCAGACCCUACGGGAGGAAGCAGUGGGGAAUAUUGCACAAUGGACGGAAGUCUGAGGGAGCGACGCCGCGUGGGGGAGGAAGGCUUUCGGGUUGGAAACUCAUGUUGAUGCUCAAGGGUAGGUGUUGAAUAAGCGCCGGCUAACUACGUGCCAGCAGCCGCGGUAAUAC
rnacentral:rRNA from 1 species